GGGGUUUGGGGUGAUCUGCUCCUGAGGGGUUUGGGGAGGUGGGACAGACCCACAGAUCCGGGUUCUGGCCAGAGAUUGAUCCUGAGGGGUUUGGGGAGGUGGCACAGACCCACAGAUCCGGGUUCUGCCCAGAGAUCGAUCCUCAGGGACUUGGGGAGGUGGGACAGACCCACAGAUCCGGGUUCUGGCCAGAGAUCGAUCCUCAGGACUUUGGGGAGGUGGGACAGACCCACAGAUCCAGGUUCUGGCCAGAGAUUGAUCCUCAGGGCUUUGGGGAGGUGGGACAGACCCACAAAUCUUGGUUCUGGCCAGAGGGGUUUGGGGAGAUGGGAGAAACCCACAGAUCUGGGUUUUGGCCAGAGAUAAUCCUCAGGGCUUUGGGGAGAUCUGCUCCUCAGGGCUUUGGGGAGAUCUGCUCCUCAGGGCUUUGGGGAGAUCUGCUCCUGAGGGGUUUGGGGAGCUCUGCUCCUCAGGGCUUUGGGGAGAUCUGCUCCUGAGGGCUUUGGGGAGAUCUGCUCCUCAGGGCUUUGGGGAGAUCUGCUCCUCAGGGCUUUGGGGAGAUCUGCUCCUCAGGGCUUUGGGGAGAUCUGCUCCUCAGGGCUUUGGGGAGGUGGGACAGACCCACAGAUCCGGGCUCUGGGUGCAGUGUGCUGUUCCUGUAGGUUUUCCCCUCCGUCUCUCCCUCCUGCUGAGCUCUGUGCAGUGCCCACUCACCCCAGGCAGGGUUGGCACCUCCGUGGGCGCUCUCCCUGCCUGCCCCCCUGUGCUGCCCCUCCGACCCGAGACAUUUUUCUCUGAUUAGCUUUGCUCCCCGCCUCGCCCUUCCUGAGCUUUUAUGGGCAUGGUGGCCAGGCCCGGGAGGCUGCCGGGGAGCUGGGAAGUGUAAAACCUUUGGGAAGGCUUCCCAAAAAAGCUUUGGGAAGGGUUCCAGGCCCCUUACGCAGCUGGGGCCGGAGCAGAAAUGUUUUAACUAAACAAAUGAGCUGUGGGCUGGGUCACUGUGGCAGCCAGAGGUGCUGGCUGCUGUGCCCAGCUGCUUCCAGAUGGUUCUCCCGGCAUUUCCAGCUUCCCUUUUCCACCAGGGAAAUCCUUUCCACCAGGGAGAGCCUCGCCCUGGUGGGAUUUCUGCUUUAGGAGCUGGGUGCCACUGACAUUUCUUCCAGUGAGGAUGGGCAGCUGGAGUUCCAGCAGUGGACUUGGUGUUUUCUACAGGUUUUCCAGGAGUGGGUUUGGUGUUUUCUAGAGGUUUUCCAGCAGUGGGUUUGGUGUUUUCUAGAGGUUUUCCAGCAGUGGGUUUGGUGUUUUCUAGAGGUUUUCCAGCAGUGGGUUUGGUGUUUUCUAGAGGUUUUCCAGCAGUGGGUUUGGUGUUUUCUAGAGGUUUUUCUAAAUGUCUUCAUCCAGAGAGCAGGAGGAGGCUCUGGAGCCUCAUGGAUUUGCUCUGCUCCACUUUUCCUGGAAAUGGGGGAGCUGGGGGUGUUCAGCCUGGAGAAGAAAAGGCUCUGGGGAAACCUGAGGGUCCAAAUAAGAGGGAAAAAAAAGGAAUAAGGCACAACUUUGAGCCAAAAUAACAAGGAAAAAAGAAACAAAACACAACUUUGAGCAA